rnacentral:lncRNA from 1 species
AAAUCAGCACAUGCCUCCGCUGCUCGCAGCGGGCCUGGCCUCGGCCCCGGGCUCCACGCACGCGAGAGGUGGGCGUCUCGCGGGCCCGUGGCGCGGUUCGGACUCCCCCCACCGCAAAACGACCCCCCGACACGAACCAGGUGGGGUUGGAGCCCGUCUUCCUGUUCUCUGCACGGCCGCGGAUCCUGAGAAAGGAAAAGGGCGUGUGGCGCCGGGACCCGGCCGCACCGGGGAAGUCACUCGCCGGGUCUCCAGCGGCGCAGCCGCGGCCAGCGGGGAGGCUUAGGAGCCGCUGCGGGGCUGAUUCCUUCGCCCCCGGCUGCUGUUCUUGUGCCCCCACCGUCGCCCACCUUCGCGCAGAGCUGCCCGCGCCGGGGGUCGCGCUCCUGCCCGCUGUGGAAGCGCGGCUGCCUGGGGGCCGCGCGCCUUGUGUGCACGCGGGCGGCGCUCACCUCCUUCCUGCCUGCGCCAGCGCUGGUGGAGCCUCGAGGUCCAAACAUAAACCAGAUCGAUGCCCCCUCCCUUUUCCAGGCUGUGACGAACGAUGGCUUCGUGGGCUUGUAAGUCCACGCGCGGCAACCGAGUGUGAACACAUCUGUGCACCCACUUGGGUGGGCGUGGCUGGGCAGGGGACAUGGCCCAGUGAGUGUGUGUGUUGGGGGGUAAGGUCUAUGUUCACGUGUCCAAAGACAGCUUUAAGAAGUAAGCAGCAAGGAAGUAACCAUGAUAGCUCCAGGACACAGAGGCUUCGCCACGGACGCCUCUGAGAACUUCCCGUCUGGCAUGUUUGAUCAACACCAGAUUUGCUGCCUGGAAGUUUUUUAUCUUGUUAUUCUGAACAAGGACCCUAAUUCUUCUUACGAAUAAGAGAACCUCUCUGUUGGGUAUACAGUAUUCAGUUGGUCUGAGAAAACACAAACCCCACUCAAGUCUCCAGACUUGUUUACACAGAAAACUGAACCUGUGGCUGGCCUAGAGUCUGAGCCUAUUCUGGGCAUUGUUUAUUGCAAUCUGCCCAGGCCCUCCUGCCCCCACCACAGUCACCACCACACACGAACCUGGAGAAUAGAACCUUUCUUUGGAAAGGGGGGUUGGAAUAGGAUUGAGUGACCAUGGUAUUAGGUCAUGCACACACUGCUGAGGAUGGCCGCACUGGAAUUUGAUAAGAUGAUGGCCAUAAGCUUUUAUUCCCAGGUGGCCUCAUAAAAUGGUGGGGAGAUACUCAGUGUCUCCAGCAAACAGAGAACUCCACAUGUGGUUGCUGUGGCUGCAGCUCUGAUCAUUAUACAGCCUGAGCUUACCCUAGACACUGGGGUUACUCAGCCUGUGGGGUUGUGCUGCCCAGAAAACAAAACAAAACAAAAAACACCACCACCAGGCAGCAAAUUCCUCCUUCCACUUCUGUGUCUGAUGUAUUGGGUGCCUUCUAAGCCCUAAUGAGCCUCACUUUGUACAGUAAAUUUCCUGAGACAUAAAAAAGUAUUUAAAAGAAAGUUUCCUGUUUUUUCCUAAUGAGCAAGGUGAGGAUUUAUAGUGUGGGGAGGAGGGACUCCGGCAGCCGGGGCC